rnacentral:ncRNA from 1 species
UGCCGGGGUCAACUCGGAGGAAGGUGGGGAUGACGUCAAAUCAUCAUGCCCCUUAUGUCUUGGGCUUCACGCAUGCUACAAGUGGCCGGUACAAAGGCGGCGAUGCCGUAAGGUGGAGCGAAUCCCAAAAGCCGGUCUCAGUUCGGAUUGGGGUCUGCAACUCGACCCCAUGAAGUCGGAGUCGCUAGUAAUCGCAGAUCAGCAACGCUGCGGUGAAUACGUUCUCGGGCCUUGUACACACCGCCCGUCACGUCACGAAAGUCGGUAACACCCGAAGCCGGUGGCCCAACCCUUGUGGGGGGGAGCCGUCGAAGGUGGGACUGGCGAUUGGGACGAAGUCGUAACAAGGUAGCCGUACCGGAAGGUGCGGCUGGAUCACCUCCUUU